CCUACGGGAGGCAGCAGUGGGGAAUUUUGGACAAUGGGCGCAAGCCUGAUCCAGCAAUGCCGCGUGCAUGAAGAAGGCCUUCGGGUUGUAAACUUCUUUUGUACGGAACGAAACGGUCUUCUCUAAUACAGAGRGCUAAUGACGGUACCGUAAGAAUAAGCACCGCCU
rnacentral:rRNA from 1 species